AGAGUUUGAUCCUGGCUCAGGAUGAACGCUGGCGGCGUGCCUAACACAUGCAAGUCGAACGAAGCUUGACGGAUGAUUUCUUCGGAAUGAAACCAGAUAUGACUUAGUGGCGGACGGGUGAGUAACACGUGAGCAACCUGCCUUUCAGAGGGGGAUAACGGCUGGAAACGGUCGCUAAUACCGCAUGAUGUGUUCGGAUGGCAUCAUCUGAACAUCAAAGAUUUAUCGCUGAAAGAUGGGCUCGCGUCUGAUUAGAUAGUUGGUGGGGUAACGGCCUACCAAGUCUACGAUCAGUAGCCGGACUGAGAGGUUGAACGGCCACAUUGGGACUGAGAUACGGCCCAGACUCCUACGGGAGGCAGCAGUGGGGAAUAUUGCACAAUGGGGGAAACCCUGAUGCAGCAACGCCGCGUGAAGGAUGACGGUUUUCGGAUUGUAAACUUCUUUUCUUAGUGACGAAGACAGUGACGGUAGCUAAGGAAUAAGCAUCGGCUAACUACGUGCCAGCAGCCGCGGUAAUACGUAGGAUGCAAGCGUUAUCCGGAUUUACUGGGUGUAAAGGGAGCGCAGGCGGGACUGCAAGUUGGAUGUGAAAUACCGUGGCUUAACCACGGAACUGCAUCCAAAACUGUAGUUCUUGAGUGAAGUAGAGGCAAGCGGAAUUCCGAGUGUAGCGGUGAAAUGCGUAGAUAUUCGGAGGAACACCAGUGGCGAAGGCGGCUUGCUGGGCUUUAACUGACGCUGAGGCUCGAAAGUGUGGGGAGCAAACAGGAUUAGAUACCCUGGUAGUCCACACUGUAAACGAUGAUAGCUAGGUGUGGGGGGUCUGACCCCUUCCGUGCCGGAGUUAACGCAAUAAGCUAUCCACCUGGGGAGUACGACCGCAAGGUUGAAACUCAAAGGAAUUGACGGGGGCCCGCAC
rnacentral:rRNA from 1 species